rnacentral:lncRNA from 1 species
CAAGGGCUAUAGGGAUCUGAUUAUAGCUGGAAUAUCUAUCGAGAAAAUAAUAGAACUCUUGUCCGACUAAUUUUUCUACCGUUUGAUCAAUAAACGAUAAUGAAAAGUGAUCUUUUCUUGCUUUUUUGACUACAUCCUUCAUGGCUGGGUUAAGUCUUCUCUGAGCAUCUCUAGUUGGUUUGAUCUCUUCCUCUAGGUGUAUCCUGUGUUGAACUAUGGAAGGGCUUAUUCUCUUAAUAUCAGUCAUGGUCCAGCCUAUUGCUUCAUGAUUCUUUUUUAGAAUUGCUAACAACUCCUCUUGUUUAAGAUUUAUGUCAGAUGCAAUAAUUAUAGGCAAGAUUUUCUCUGGACCUAAAUAUGCAUACUUAAGGUGCUCGGGGAGG